AACAAUUUUAAAUUAAAUUUUGAAACUAGGCCUCGUAAGGUUAGUGUUAAUAACAUCUUUGUUAGUAGUUAAUAACAUCGUUAGUAGUUAAUAACAUCUUUUGCUGCUAUAAUUUAUAGCGUAGCUGUGUAGCGUUGGUUAAAUCUGAAAGAAUUUCUGAAACAAAUGGACGGUCCCAAAAAAGAUUUGGUACUUUCAUUUUACAUUACUCACGGACAAGAUCGUCGUAGGUCGCGUGGAUUAGUAUAUGUAUAUUUGUCAUUUGUACAUAGCAUAUCUUAUCUAUGUUAACCAGUUAGUUGUUUUUGACGAGUAUAUUUGUCAUGAAGAAAUGACAAUAUUUUGUGUUACGAUAAGCUCUGUCGGUAAUAAAAUUAAAAAAUGAAACAGACAUUUCGUUACAACUUAAUUCUAUAUUAUAACAGCAACGCAUACUCUGUGUUUCACGAGUAUACUCAUCAUUGCUUAAUUUUUGUGAUACGUUUUAGGUACACACUUUUCAAAGUUUUCAAAGAGAUCGCAAUAGCCAACUGGUUAAAAAGAUGACGCCACUUGCGAUUAAUGCGACGCGACACUACGACAGAUCAGUGUUAUCAAUCCAUCACGUAUUUAAGUAACUUUCGUAAUGACCAAAAUUAGCAUCCAUGUUAGCUAAAUAAAUUUACAGUCCUGUGAAAAAAAAGAUUUCAACGAAUACCUCGAUAUUUUUCCAAACUGGACACGACGAGUUUUCAUACUAUAUGUUGCAUAUCUACGUGUCAUUUAACAGCAAGAAGCAGAGCUCGAUCGAGAGUAAACCGGGAAGCACCGUAGACUUGUUUGUCGAGGAAGACUCAUAUCUCCAUCGUAUAACAUAACGUGUUUACACUGCAGAUGAAUUCGUCAGGAAACGCUUUGGACUGUUACGGCGAAAUACGUUGUGAUUUGUUGCUACGAAUCUUCGUUACGCGAAUACACCGUAGCAGCUCGAUGAGAAAUGAAUUAUGAUUUCAGUAUACGACAUCGACACUGAUAAACAUCUACCUACGUGUUGGCUUAGAUAGCGACAGUGGAAUUGAUAUUGAGAAUAACAGAAAGAGAGAGAGAAAGGGAGAGUGUUCCAGGUUUAAUAGCUGAACUUUGCCAGUGUACGAUAUGAGCAGGUACUCAAGCCAAAAUAUAUUAUAUAAACAUAGGUCUUUUAAAGCUUUAUUAAAAACUUUAAACAAAUAUUGUAUAUUAAUAAUUUACUUGUACUUUAGGUCCAUAACCUGUUACAAGAAGGUUGCUGUAUUCUUAUUUCUAACUUCUUACACUAUAUUUAUAUUCUUACAUUGAGCUCUUUAGUUAGUAUAUUGUAUUGUUAUUGUGUUUAUAUUAUAUUUUAUUCUGUAAUGUUAUAUUAUUUAACUCAUUUUUAAUUAGUAUGUAUAGCGGAUAUAUAUGACCACACAUAUAUCAUAUAUAUGUGUGUACAUAUUAUGUAGUGUAAGAAGUAAGAAUAAAAGUACGAAUAAUUUAUCACAUGCAUAUUUUUGAUAAUUUUCUAUCGCGUGCUACACGCGACAAUGUAACGCUAAAUGGAGUGUACUCGUAAUUAAUUAUUUCCUAUGUCUAACCGUAAACAAUGCCAACAAAUAUCAAGUUUAAUCAGCGUUUUCAAUUUAUGCCCAUGCCGCUACACUUAUCGGUGUGUUUACGCGUACCUAGACGCUCGUAAUGACAGUGUUAUCAUGAAUCGAUAAUUAAUAUAACUGGAGCGCACAACGUUCCAUCAUGGAUUAUCAAUUUGGCUCAGUCUUUUGCGCGUAACGGAUACCAUAUUUCCGAUUAAUAAAGGAAGAAAUUACUACAAAUUUCGAGUUAUCUUAAAACUUCAAAUCGACUAUUUUAUAUAACCUUUCAGUGUCGUAUAUCUAUAUGUGUAUAUGAGUACAAUACAUAUAUAGCAGUCGUGUUUCUUUUUUAAGGAAAUUUCAAAAUGUCUUACAUAAUCACACGAUAUAUAGGAUUUACCUAAGAGUUUUGAGCUAAAAUAUAUUUCCUACUGCCUAUUAAUUACGUCGAAAAAUUGUUUUGCGUAAAAGUCGAAUGGUUUCAACGGAACCAUAUUUUGGUGUUAUUAGUUUCCCUAUUAUCUUUUUUCUUUAAUCGAAUCAUAUAUUGUUUAAUAUGUUGAUCGACGUAACUCGAGAUCCUCUAUAAAAAAAAGUUAUUAACCUUUUUACGUCGAAAAACUAUUAGUUCAGUAGAUACUUUAACAUUUAUUUUGUAAAAGUUGUCGUAUGAAAGACAAGGAGAACAGACAGAAAAAUAGUGCCUUACGUCUUUCCUCGUAUAAUUAACCAAUUAGUUGUUGUUGACAAGUAUACUUGUUACGAAGAAAUGGCAAUAUUCUAUGUUAUGACGAGUCUCGUAAUAAGACAGUCAUCUCAUGAUAACUUAAUAUUAUAUUACAACAGCCACAUAUCUGUGUUUGAUGAGUAUACAUGUCAUCGCUUACUUUUUACGUCACAUUUUAGGUACAAAGGGAUCGCAAAAAAUAACUAGUUAAUAGUAUCAACAAUAUUUUAGCCUAAAUGAUUAGGUGACUCACCCUGUAUACACGAAAGUUUUCCAUUGCUUGUGUUUGAAUACUUUCGCAAGCAUGUAUAUCUAUGUUAAUAAUUCCACUAUAAUAUCAGACUCUCUUCAUUCGAUUAACGAUAUUAUCUGAACAGUCUGAAACUGAAGCUUAACUGUGUUCCAGUGAUGAACGGUGAAUAUCUACAAUAUUUGUACCUGUAUAACACGGUUUAUUAUUAAGUGGCAUGGUUGCACGUCGAUAGCUUUGCAUUAGUUCUCCUUAUUCAGGCUAUAAAUAAUUUUCCGAUAUUGUUUCAUCCUCGCACGCGUAAGCGCCCAUAAGCCACGCCGAGCGAUAGUUAUUCUCUUCGUACACAUUAAAAAUAUCAUCUUGAGAAAGGAUCAUGCUCGUGGCUAAUGGAAAACUGCCGACAUAAUAAUAUCUAUCCUGUGGCCUCGUUGCAACACCCUUUCAAUGCGAAUGAAUAUUAAAGUCUGACAUGUUGAUAUCAACAAUAAUAUUUAAUCGAUCUAUUUUUAAAUAAAGGAUUUACUAAUAAGAACAGGAGUAUCUAUUAUUCUAAAAAAAAAAAAAAAAAAUAAUAACGAUAAGGAAAAUAAUAUAAUCGUAAUACGUUGACUUAUGUUAAGUCACUAAACACGAAAUAUCUUUUAUUAUGCUUCUUUAACACUAGCCUUACCUUACCAGACUCGGUCAAAUGACCGGUUUCAAAAUUUCAUUUAAAAUUGUACGUUCAUUGUUAUUUCUGUUGUUCAUCUAACUUUAUGUAAAUUCUUAUAUUAACAAAAAUUGAGAAGUUGAUUAAUCAGAUAAUUUGGCCGGACCUGGUAAGAUGUGUUAAAGUGUGAAUUUGGCGCACCAAUGCCUGGUAAACAACGAUAUAACAAAAUUUAACUGGUCGGCAAAUUCGAACUUUAAAAGAACGAUGUCUUAUAUACAUCCACCAAAUAAUUGCUAUAUCGAUAAAAAUGGUCGAAAAAUUCCCUAGGAAUAUGCUGAUGGCAAAGAUGUAUUAAUACCAGCGAUACGAUAUUUUGGUUAAUAGAGUUACUUUAAAAAAAAGCAGAAGUAUAUUUGUUUUAAUAAAAGAAAAUUUAUAUUUUAUACGUUACGACCUAAUGAAUUUAAUAAUUGGAAAUUCAAUAGACUAACAAAUGUCUAAAACACACUAUCCAACGGUCGACGUAACAUGAUUUAUAUAGGUCUAGUGAUUUUAUGACUUUAUUCGUCAACUCAUCACUCACCAGCGGUCAAACCUUCGCUUCCCAUUGCUGGUCAGCCCACUCUGCAUUCCACUUUAACCGAAAUACAAAUUCGACAGCUCUACCAAUCACGGGAAACAAACAAGACACACCUUCGACCACACCCGACGCAAAAUAUAAAGCAUCGUAUCAAACAGCUUUUUCGAUCAAACUCAAAGUCGAUUUAACUCGAUCAACUUUUCAAACAAGCUACAGGUACACUAUGAAUGUUUGUGUAUUUAUGGAAUAUCAAUUCAACCCUUUCAACGCCCAAGACGUUAAAUCUGAAUUAUUUAAAAAGUGCAAAAUUUAUAUAUUUAUAUAUCUUUGUGCCAACACUCGACGACGGAAUUUUCCGACGGCUUCGCGACACAAAACAUAAUAUCAUUAAAGCGUAAAGCCAAUAUGCCUAAUGCACUAUCGAUAUUCCUAUGGUCCUCCCGCCGAAGAUUCGGAAGGAUGCGUACGCGGCAACGGUCGCGGACGUCCAACGAACGCGUGAAGAGUGGGGAUAUCGAGAGGUAACAAAAGAAAAGAAUCUGUCCAAAGAUUCAUUCGAUUUUGAGCAGCGAAGUGCGAAAGGUCAAGUGAACAGCGAAGCAAACAUAGUCGAGAAGUGAGGAUUGUUGAUUGUUGGUUGUUGACUGUUGAUUGUUAGAUAAAUUAUAUUGUUGAACAUUGAGAGUAUUUCUUGGGCACCUUACAUCAAACACCAUCUCAUCUUUUUAUGCUGUUUGCUGUUUCGUCGAAGGAGUUUUAGCAAGAACAGGUUAGUCGUUAGUCAGGGGCAGAGUUCGACUAAUUUUUAACACAAGCGUCGCGCCAAUGCGAUAUUGGGUUAAAGUUAAAAGGUUGAAGAUAAGCGAAACGCUUUAAUAGUUGUUCCUAAUAGAUUCAACGGGGGCGUUCCUCUAUCUUGAAAUUCCCUUCGAAGUACUUUUAUCUGUUUCAAUUAAUUCACCAGGUUUCACGUUCAAUUAACAAAAGCGUUUAAUUAAAAUGUUAACUACAGAACUUCAAAGUGUAAACACUUUGAAGCGAGAAUUGACAUCGCAAAAGAGGAGAAAACGGAGGAUUUUAACAUGUGAAGUCUGAAUGUUCCACCUUGGUGUCGCAGUUGCGCUAGUUCCGACAGAUGGAUAUCCGUUCCGACCUGGCUAAAGUGAAUAAGCAAUCUCUGAAUGCAAGUGCUGAAUACAAGUUUCGUAGGUCCUCUUUAGCGGACCAACUACAAAAGGCCGAAGCAAACACGACGAAACUGUUAUUAAUGUUUCUCUGUAUCGUGAAAACGUUCGUGAAAGUGUUUCUUUACUUUUAAGAAAUUAUUAAAAUAGUGACGUCGUUGUUUCAAAGCAACUGGCGGGAAAUUUAAAAGUGCGCGAAAGAAAAGAACCGAGAGUACUCUUAAAAUCGUGUCUUUUUUAAACGUUUUCCUUUGACAAGCACGCGUAUCGAUUAAUGUAAUUCAAUAACGACUAAUAACGAUAUAACAUAAAAGAUUGUCCUAUAAACUGUUUCUUAAUGUAGAAUAUUUUUAUUAUUUCGAGUAUUAAAAUAUUGUAAAUUUGAGGUAUUGUCAAUUUGAGUAAAAUUGAAAAUAUUAAAAAUAUCGCUGUUCCGAAUAAAAUAUUUUGUUUAUAAAUAAAAAUUUGUAGAUUUAAAAAGAACAAAACAGCGUAAAAGAAACGAAAUAGAAUAUUAUUAAAUAGUAGAUGAAGUUAUUUAAGGAGUUAAUGUAAUUUAUCUAAUAACCUAAUAUAACCAUUCACUAUGCUGAUAGAACUAUUGGAUAGCUCUAUCUAACCUAGCUAAUAAACUUAUGGCAGCUCUAUAUGAGUACUUAACGAAGUUAUCUGAACGGCUAAUUAAACUACCUAAGAAAUUAAUGCAGUUACCUGAUGAACUGAUAAGCUUACGCAGAAGAAAUCUGAAAUUUAUGAUCGAUGACUUUGUUACUUGUCAAUUUACUAAUAUCGCGAUUUGCUAAAUUUUGAAACUAAAUUCUACGAAUC